CCCCUCUUAGGGUCACAUCUGGAGAGUUUCCAGUCCUCUACCAGUCUUGGCUAUGGGAGGGAGAGUCAAGCAGAGGCCUGUCCAUUCCAUUCCUAGCUUGGCCAGUGGCUAGUGAGUGGAAGGCAAUCUGCUACAAGU
rfam:Ornithorhynchus anatinus chromosome 2, whole genome shotgun sequence.